rnacentral:rRNA from 1 species
CGUAGGUGGCAAGCGUUGUCCGGAUUUAUUGGGUUUAAAGGGUGCGUAGGCGGUUCCAUAAGUCAGUGGUGAAAUACGGCAGCUCAACUGUCGAGGUGCCAUUGAUACUGCGGAACUUGAGUACUGAUGAGGUAGGCGGAAUUGACGGUGUAGCGGUGAAAUGCUUAGAUAUCGUCAAGAACACCGAUAGCGAAGGCAGCUUACCAAGCAGUAACUGGCGCUGAGGCACGAAAGUGCGGGGAUCAAACAGGAUUAGAUACCCUGGUAGUCCGCACAGUAAACGAUGAUUACUCGAUGUUGGCGAUACACAGCCAGCGUCUUAGCGAAAGCGAUAAGUAAUCCACCUGGGGAGUACGCCCGCAAGGGUG